rnacentral:tRNA from 1 species
GGGGAUUUAGCUUAGCGGCAUAAGCGCCUGCCUUGCAAGCAGGCAGUUAUGAGUUCGAUCCCCA